GCCAUACUUCGCUGAUACGAGGGUGGAUCCGAAACCUCUAGAAGGUUGACAUAGCCUCUCUAUGCCCUACUCAAUACGUCCGUCGUACAGAACGGUAACUUGUCUUUCAAUUAUCCAAGCGUUGGUAUAAGGCAGGGGUCUUCCGGAUUCA
rfam:Anopheles gambiae M scf_1925491383 genomic scaffold, whole genome shotgun sequence.